GAUGAACGCUAGCGGGAGGCUUAACACAUGCAAGUCGAGGGGCAUCACGAGGUAGCAAUACUUUGGUGGCGACCGGCGCACGGGUGAGUAACACGUAUGCAACCUACCCUGUACAGGGGGAUAACCCGGAGAAAUUCGGACUAAUAUCCCAUGCAAUUAUUGGAGGGCAUCCUUUGAUAAUUAAAGCUCAGGCGGUAUAGGAUGGGCAUGCGGAACAUUAGCUAGUUGGUAGGGUAACGGCCUACCAAGGCUACGAUGUUUAGGGGACCUGAGAGGGUUAUCCCCCACACUGGUACUGAGACACGGACCAGACUCCUACGGGAGGCAGCAGUGAGGAAUAUUGGUCAAUGGGCACAAGCCUGAACCAGCCAUCCCGCGUGAAGGAAGAAGGCCCUAUGGGUUGUAAACUUCUUUUCCAGGGGGUGAAUAAUUCCGAAUGUAUCGGGAGAUGACGGUACCCUGGGAAUAAGCAUCGGCUAACUCCGUGCCAGCAGCCGCGGUAAAACGUAG
rnacentral:rRNA from 1 species